rnacentral:rRNA from 1 species
GCCGCCGCCCCCCUCCCACCACACCCCAGGUAACCCUAGUUCCCAAAUCCUUCUUGGAUCCAGCCAGCCAUGGCGGGAUCUUUGAUGAUGUCCGGCUCCUUCGACCCCCCUGCCGCCGAUCCCGCCGGCGCCAACCCCUCCCGCUACCCCUUCUGGGUUCUCCUCGACAGCACAGCCUACUUCGCCAACCGCGACAACGCCACCACCGUGAAGGGCACGACGAGCGCGGGCCACGAAUUCAAGGUGACCUUCUGCCUCGCUGACCCGCCUGCCGUCUCUUACUUCUGCGUCCACUUUACCGGAGUCAGCAUACAAGAGCUUUGCACCACGGAGCCCCGCGUCGUCUCCUCCACCUAUUACCUCGCCCUCCUCUGCUUCCCCAUCAGAACCGCCCUCGAGUACUUUGUCUACAAGGCCUUCUCCGGCGGCAAGAGCAUCAUCCAAAGGGUCCCUCCUUCUCCAGCAUACAAGCACCAGUGGCUCUCGGCAGUCGUGCCACGCGAGGGCGACAAUUUCUUGGUCGCUGAUCUUUCCCCGGGUGGGGACCUUGGGCACUACAACCUGCAUAUCUUCUCAUCGGAGACGAAAGAGUGGAGCACAAAACACCUACAGCUGCAGGCGCCCUCUGAUGUCCUGUCACGGGACCUGCCAAGCCAAACCGACAAGGUGAUCUUUCUCGGAGCAAACACUGUUGGAUGGGUCGAUCUCUGGCGCGGCAUCGUUGUGUGUGAUGUGCUCCAGAAGGAUCCUGUUCUCCGAUUCCUCCCGCUGCCCAAGGCUGAUUUCGACCUGCACCGGGAAAGUCCAGCACGGCAAGUGCGGGACGUCAUUGGCUUCCCUGAUGGUUUCAUCAACUUCGUGGAGAUCGAACAGUGUGUCAGAUGGUUCACCGUUGUCAGAAAGAGGACUUCGAAGACGACCCAUGUUUUUGACGUUGCAGAUACCAUCUCUGAUGCGGAGCUCCUCAGCAAUGAUGGUAUGGAUACAGAAGACAAACCUUUUCAUGCACCGGCUGGCUGGAAGAUACGGUCAAUGUUUAGGAGCAUUUAUUGGCACUUAUGGCAGAAGAGUCGCACUGCCCAUGUUGACCACAUAUCACCGUGCCCACCUGAAUCCUCUAAGCUGACGCAUCAUCUAUGAAAUGGACAUUGGGAAACCUGAAGACUGCAGGGUUCCCGACCUUGAGUGUUUACGGUGGUAAUACUGUCUACCUCGUGUCUAAGGUGGAGUCUCAGGAUGAAGACACAUUGCUUGUUGGUGUUGAUAUUGGAAAGAGGAAGCUGGAAGUCAUCGAACAAUAUUGUUGCGGCAGAUCCAUUUCUUUCGAUCCCUAUCCGCUUGGCGUUGUUCAAAUUGUAGGGGGGCGGGAAGUCAUUGAACCAUAUUGUGGUGGGAGAUCCACUGCUUUCAAUCCUAUUUCCUGCGCAUUCUCCGAAUAUCUGAAUGCCACUCCAAGUCCAAGGCAUGUUUUCUGUUUUGCUCUGUUUUCUAUUCUAUUAACUUCCAUGCAAACUCAUUGUAUUUCCCCCAGUUCUCAACUUAUUUUGCCCCAUGCACCUGACAUUUUGCCUCUUAUUUUGCUUAAGGCCACGUGAUGAUGAAGUUGCAGCAGUAUCUGCUCACAGCGGUGCGCUGGGCAAUACUGUUCCAAAAUAUAUGCAAACCCAGCAAAACACGUCGAAUGGGGAUGACUCUAGCAAGUAUCAACCGCCAACCACACUCCAGCCAUCCAGUUUGACACAAACUGGGCAGCCCUUGUCAUCUUCAACUUCAACUCAAUUAGACGACUUCCGAAGGAUGCCCUCUCAAUGUCUCGCGUGCCAUUGCAACCUCCCUCCUGACCAGUACCCAAGGAGGAGGCGUUUGCACCGUGAAUGACUUCGACGGCUGUCCUCGACCAUGGCCAACAGCACCACAGGAAGCCAUUUUCAUCUCUUGCAUAUCACGGGCAGGUGGAAUAUCGUGGUUGAUGUCAUGGAAUGUCAACAAAGUGCAUGCUCUUGCAUCUUUUGAUGCUGUGCAGCCAUGUCCAUAUAUAUAUGGUGCUAUGGACCUUAUUUGCCUUGCUGAUGUUUGGUUGCUCCUCCGCGAUGUCUGCUUUUUGGAAGAGUUCUGAUCUUAACGUUGUUAGACCAGCCAAUCAGCCAUUGAUCGCAGUGCACGUAACAGUCCCUGCUACUUCCCUGCUACUUCGUUGCGACCACCUAGACCUGUUAGCUUUGUUCAGUUACGGAUUAAAAGGCACGUUGUUGAUACAUGUCUUUUUUAUCCUACCCGAUUUUAUCUGGUUACC